GUCUCUGCCGCACAGGAAUUCGUGGUCCUGACACACUGGAAGGGAGAAGAAGAGAGAUGUGUAAGGGACUGCAGGGAAGGCGAUCAGAGCACAUGCGUAAAGAAACGAUGGGGAAGGAUAAAGAUGGUGGAAGGUUAAGAUUAGUAAGGGAAAGGAUAAAGAUGGAGGAAGUUUAAGAUCAGUAUGGGAAAGGAUAAAGAUGGAGGAAGUUUAAGAUUAGUAUGGGAAAGGAUAAAGAUGGAGGAAGUUUAAGAUCAGUAUGGGAAAGGAUAAAGAUGGAGGAAGUUUAAGAUUAGUAUGGGAAAGGAUAAAGAUGGAGGAAGUUUAAGAUCAGUAUGGGAAAGGAUAAAGAUGGAGGAAGUUUAAGAUUAGUAUGGGAAAGGAUAAAGAUGGGGGUAGGUUAAGAUUAGUAUGGGAAAGGAUAAAGAUGAAGGAAGGUUAAAAUUAGUAAGACGCAGGCAGCCAGAAAGUAAAGACGCCUGAAUCCUCUGCCAAGAUACAGGAAAGGGA